rnacentral:rRNA from 1 species
AUUGACCGCUGGCGGCAGGCCUAACCCAUGCAAGUCGAGCGAGCUGCGGACGGGUGAGUAAUGUAUGGGGACUGCCCGAUAGAGGGGGAUCACUACUGGACACGGUGGCUAAUACCGCAUACUAUCGGCAAACCCAUAUGGGAUUAGCUAGUAGGUGGGGUAAAGGCUCACCUAGGCGACGAUCUCGAGCUGGUCUGAGAGGAUGAUCAGCCACACUGUGAAUGAGACACGGCCCAGACUCCUACGGAGGCAGCAGUGGGGAAUAUUGCACAAUGUGCGCAAGCCUGAUGCAGCCAUGCCGCGUGUAUGAAGAAGGCCUUAGGGGUGUAAAGUACUUUCAGCGGGGAGGCGUUACCCGCAGAAGAAGCACCGGCUAACGCCGUGCCAGCAGCCGCGGUAAUAC